CUGCACCGCCCACACACAGGGGCUGAGUCCAGGCUGUCAUGACACCUAUGCUGCCAAUAUUGACUGUCAGUGGAUCGACAUCACUGAUGUUCCUGCAGGAAACUACGUCCUGAAGGUCAUAGUGAAUCCCAGUUAUCAUGUUCAAGAGUCGGACUAUUCCAACAACGUGGUGCGGUGUGAUGUCACAUACACGGGUACUCAGGUUCAGACACGGAACUGUCGGGUAACCAGGGGUUAAAGCAUUCCAUGGAUUCUGAGGUAUUUUUCCUCUUGUCUCUUUAAGUACUGUAAACAGCAACAAUCUCAACCAGUUGUUG